rnacentral:rRNA from 1 species
UACGUAGGGUGCAAGCGUUGUCCGGAAUUAUUGGGCGUAAAGAGCUCGUAGGCGGUCUGUCGCGUCUGCUGUGAAAACUCAGGGCUUAACCCUGAGCUUGCAGUGGGUACGGGCAGACUAGAGUGCGGUAGGGGAGACUGGAAUUCCUGGUGUAGCGGUGAAAUGCGCAGAUAUCAGGGAGGGAACACCGGUGGGCCGAAAGGC